CCACUACCCAAAGACUAUACAUGGACUGACCCUGGGCUCCAGCUGCAUAUGUAGCAGAGGAUGGCCUUGUUGGGCACCAAAGGGAGGAGAAGCCCUCGGUCCUGCCCAGGCUGGACCCCCACCCCAGUGCAAGAGAACGUCAAGGGGGGAUGAAAAGAGGGUGGUUGGGGAUGGGGAACACCUUUAUAAAAGAAGGGGAGAGGCUGGGAUAGGAUGCUUAGGGCCAGGAAACCAGGAAAGGGAAUAACAUUUGAAGUGUAAAUAAAAAUAUCCAAAUAAAUAAAUAAAUAAGAACAGAAAA
rnacentral:lncRNA from 1 species